UCUCCUCCCAAUUACUCUCACUUACAGUCUCUUUCUUAAUGCUGAGUCUGGGAUAGCUGAGAUCAAGAGUCUCCAAGAGGCAAGUGGGAGGCAAGAAUAAGCAGAAAAGAAGGAUCUUUGGAAAGCCAAAAACAUCUCUACACCAAAUUGAGAGAGCGGAAUUAUAAGGCUGUGAAAUGGGAAGGAAGGCUGGUAGAAGACUGAGGUUGGCUCUUAACAGAGGCCCUGAGGAGGGCUGGCAUGGUACAUGAUGUCUGGAAAAGGUAUAUGGUGGCCCAGGGAAUUGAAGAAUGCCAAAACUCUCUUCUGGAUCCAAAAUGCCUAACUUACCAGCCACUUAAGAUAAGAGACAUCCAAAACCAAUAGUGUCAAACAACUGGUUGAAUGAUACCUGCACAGGUGGAAGCCUUACAUCCAAACCGCUGGCUGCUCUCGUAACUCCUUCCAUGGCCAAGCUGGAGAAGCCUCUUCCUGCCUGGCACCUUAUCUGGAUUAUGGCACCUUGUGAUCCCCUCUCCUUUACCGCUUCUCUCCCAUAACACCCAGAGAAAAAUUCCCGGUCCAAAUAAACAGCCCUUCUUCAGUUGGUCUUUGAGAAAAACCAACAGAACUGAUAGCUGCAAGACAUGAGGCACUUGAAGUUUGCUGGCAGAGAAGGAAGAAAACUUGAAGUUGUCCAGAAGAAGAUCUCCCCCGGAUCAUACUGCAUAUCCUGGUGUUCACAGGUGAACUGCAGUGUUCAAUCUGAGUGGGGUCCAGUCUCUUGAACAACAGCAGCCCCUAAUCAAAGACUUUUCUUGUGCACCCUGAAGAUAUUCAAUUAGUAUUUCCUAAAUUUUUCUGGAAGAUAAAAUGUAGGGUGAUCACAUGAAUAUCUCCCUCGUGCUUCCUUUCAAAGAAGUGUUCAGAAUCAACUGGGUUACUCUCUCUCAGAAGAGGGCUGGGAUUUUUGGAAGCAUCUCUCUAUGCCAUAACAUUUUGGGCCACUAAACAAUGUAAAUGGCCAAAUGAACAUAAUUCUUGGAGACAAGAGACCCUAACUUUGGUUCUAGAUCUGUCCAGUGAGGACCUCUGCAUGGAAACCCUUCACCUCCACAUAGCCAAAGCCACCAGGACUGCAGGAAACAGGGGACUUGAUGAGACUGAUGCAACAAUUAAAAACAGAGGUCUGCUGGAUACCCUAGUCUGGAUCUUUAUGUUGUCCUGCGGCCAGAAAAGUGUUUGCAGAGAAAGAGAAUUCCCAAACACCAGAGGCAUCCACAGGGACCAGACAAUGACUGCACAUGAAUACAAGAGGAUUACUCUCUGAAGGAAGUCUUGCUUCAAUCAAACCUCCUGCCAGAGGAAGGCUCAGAUAUGCACUAUUUGGAGAAGCCUCAAAACCAGGCUCAAAUGACCUUGAUUUUUGAACAGUGUGUUCCUUUCCUUGGGCAGUACUUGUUAGCACAUCAAAAUUCUUAGUAGCAAAUUAGGACUCCUUUAGCAGAGAAUAAAGGCACUAAAUAACUGUUA